rnacentral:rRNA from 1 species
GGGCGUAAGGGCUCGCAGGCGGUUUCUUAAGUCUGAUGUGAAAGCCCCCGGCUCAACCGGGGAGGGUCAUUGGAAACUGGGAAACUUGAGUGCAGAAGAGGAGAGUGGAAUUCCACGUGUAGCGGUGAAAUGCGUAGAGAUGUGGAGGAACACCAGUGGCGAAGGCGACUCUCUGGUCUGUAACUGACGCUGAGGAGCGAAAGCGUGGGGAGCGAACAGGAUUAGAUACCCUGGUAGUCCACGCCGUAAACGAUGAGUGCUAAGUGUUAGGGGGUUUCCGCCCCUUAGUGCUGCAGCUAACGCAUUAAGCACUCCGCCUGGGGAGUACGGUCGCAAGACUGAAACUCAAAGGAAUUGACGGGGGCCCGCACAAGCGGUGGAGCAUGUGGUUUAAUUCGAAGCAACGCGAAGAACCUUACCAGGUCUUGACAUCCUCUGACAACCCUAGAGAUAGGGCUUUCCCUUCGGGGACAGAGUGACAGGUGGUGCAUGGUUGUCGUCAGCUCGUGUCGUGAGAUGUUGGGUUAAGUCCCGCAACGAGCGCAACCCUUGAUCUUAGUUGCCAGCAUUCAGUUGGGCACUCUAAGGUGACUGCCGGUGACAAACCGGAGGAAGGUGGGGAUGACGUCAAAUCAUCAUGCCCCUUAUGACCUGGGCUACACACGUGCUACAAUGGACAGAACAAAGGGCUGCGAGACCGCAAGGUUUAGCCAAUCCCACAAAUCUGUUCUCAGUUCGGAUCGCAGUCUGCAACUCGACUGCGUGAAGCUGGGAUCGCUAGUAAUCGCGGAUC